ACUGCCACCCACAAAAGAAUCUGGAAUUUGUAUGGAAUCACGAGGCAGUGGUUUGCUGGCAAAGACGAAAGCAACAGAUUUUUUUUUCCUAUUAACACAAGCGCCGAUCGAAUGUCGAUGCUCCACAACACUGACAGCUUGCCAGGCACUAAAUGUUCGUGCAAACAAUACAAUUACUGCCACCGCUGAAAAAUGCCAAUGAGCAUGUCGAGACUGCUGAGGAAUAACAACCUCGAACACUGAAAGGAGCGACUCGUAACCCAUGGCUCGAUCGGCAAGUUGACAUUAACAAACACAUGACCCAGACAACUGAAGGCCUCUGCAUCGUUGCCCAAACUCCUGCCAUCAACUUCAGCUGGACCCUGCUGCCAGCCUGAUCUCAGAUUCCCCCGCUUGUCCUCUCCGAGACCUGGCCGCUGCUUUGCUUCAG